CGUAAAUUCAUUCCUAGUCUUUUCAUUCCUAGUAAUUUCGGGUAUCCUGUAUAACUUGGCCCACACGUCAUACUUUCUCUUUCUAUCCCCAAAUUAAAGACAGUGACAAAGGAUAGUUGAACUCUAGCAGCCUUUUAAUAAUCAUGAAAUAAAUUUCGUACGUCAAGCGUAGGAUCGCGAAGGGAAAGGAAGAAUAUAAUUGACUGAAGAAGAGAAGACGCGAAGUGAAGCAAAGAAUACAUUGACGCACGAAAGGGAUCUCGACUUCCGAGUUAUUCGGUUAAUUAGCACUUCGAAGAGUCACGAAAGUAGAUGGAAGGUCUCAUUGUAUAGAAGAAGUUGUGAAUUUGGCUCUCAUGGAGUAUUCAGAGGAGGGGGGGGAGUUCUCUCGGAGUCCAUCCGUUGACUGAGAGAGGGAGAGGAGGCCGGAGGAGAUCAAAUCUAAUUAUCAAUACUUUGCACGGGAGUCGUAGUGUAUAAAUUCAUACUGGCAGGUUUCUUCUUGGACAUCGAUGAACUCGGAUAGAAGUCGGAUAACCGCUAAUUAACCGAAUAACUCGGAAAAGUCGAGAUCCCUUUCGUCCUUCAAUGUAUUCUUCGCUUCACUUCGCGUCUUCUCUUCCUCAGCCAAUUAUAUUCUUCCCUUCCCUUCGCGUCCCUAAGCUUGACGUACCAAAUUUAUUUCCUUUAUUAUUAAAAGGUUGUGAGAGUUGAAUGUCAACCAUCCUCUGUCGCUGUCUCCAAUUUGGGGAUAGAAAGAGAACGUCUGGGCCAACCUAUACAGAAUACCCGUAAUUUCGUUCCCAGUAAAAUUCCUCUCCGGACAUUUUAUUCCCACUUAAAUAUUUAAUGACGUCAUACUGUCAAAAGCAUUUAUAUAUAUAUACUACUGGUUAGGAGUUUUUAAGGAUGUAGGGAGGUCCGGUUAGUCGGCACUGGAGACGACUGAUUACUUAUGAUGGAUUGGAUAUAGAUAUAAAGGAUUUAUGGUGCUUAGGAAUUAGAAACUACGUCAUCAUAAGUUUUAAAUAGUGAGUAGGACUGGAACCGGAUCCGUGGAUAUUGUUCAGACCUAGGGAAGUAGAAAUAAAUGACGUCAUUACUCUUACCUGUGAUGGUCUAUAAUUACCAAUAAUCUCUCACAUCAAUUCCAUCAUCCCUAUUUCUCUUCAAACAUUUCAGAUCUACGUAAAUAGUAAGCAAGUUUGCUUGGCCCCCUUGCACUCUUCUCCAGGAUCACUUACAAUCACCUACUUUCAUUUAAUUUCUGGAUUGAAACCGUAUUAUAUCCAUAUUUAAAGUGGAAAUGAAAUGUCCGAGAAUGAAUUUUACAGGGGAUAAAUUUACUGGGAAUGAAAUUACUAGGAAUGAAAGGACCUAGCGCCACUUUAUUAAUAUAAUGGGAUGGCACUACUAAAAUAAACAAAUACAUUAGCUGUUAUAACAAACCUACCUGAGCGCACACAAUAAGUCAUCCGAAUUUUUACUUUAUGUUUUCGAUAUACGAAUAUUUCAUCUAUUUUAAAAUUAAUAUAAAAGAGAAUGUUCUCUCAGAUACACUUA
rnacentral:lncRNA from 1 species